CUGCUCCAAACUAGCAUUUUUUCUGCUCCAGAGUGUGCUCCAAAAAGUAAAUGUGGCUUCCAUCACUGAAUAUAUCUAGCGUUUAAUUUCGUGCUUU
rnacentral:lncRNA from 1 species